CACUCGAAGGCACUGACUGUGGACAACCCUUUGACCUUCACACUCCACUUGGAUUUUGUGGGUACCAAGCACAUCGUGGUCCCCCAGCAUCAGGACCUCCAUCCAUGAUUGAAGACCCUCAUGAAAUCCCAGGCGGAGCCCAGCCCCUGAGGCCAUCUGGUGGAAAAAGUGCUGGGCAUCCACCUCAUGCCAUCCACUAGGAUGGGGUGUCCAUGUCUUUAGCCUCAUCCCCUGUCCCCUCGCCAGACAUGCACAUGAGCACUCAUACGUUCUGAAGUCAGAGGGACUUGCACUUGUCACUACCUCCAUCCCCUACUUCACCACUCAGACUGCACGUGACCCGGAGUGGUCCCACCUCUGCCGCAGUUCCUGCCCAACCAGAUUUUUCCACCCAAAUGUCUUAGAGGAAAUGAAUGGCUAACACUGGACCACUGCAGUUGCAGGAAUUUGGCCAAACCAUAGAAGAAGAGGUUUGCACACACGAUGCUGAAGGAAUUACAUGGUGUGCAGUCAACAAAGCUGAUGUGUUUUAUACUCAGUCCAAAUCGGACAACUUUUUUGUAAUAACUGUCGGUAGCCCUGACAUGGGAAGUGGACAGGGGCAUGAGUGUCCCCUUGCUGG